UACAUCAUAGAUCAAAAAAUAAGUUGAAAAUGACUGACAAUGCUAAUAAUUUUAGUAAUAGUGUAAUGGCAUAUCAGAUCAACCAAGAUGGUAAAAUUGUCUGGAUUUUAUUCCAGAGCUUCCAAGAUAUUAAAUCAACCAGAAUUGAACCCAGCUUUCAAGGUGAUGAGCAGUUUCUUUAUUAUGCAGCCAUCACCCAAUUUCAAAUAAUAAAAAUUUUUUUAUCUAAUAUACUAUGAAAAUAGUCAAAUUUGAAAUAUUAUAAGGGCACUCAUAAGGUACAUUCUAAUAUAAAUUUUAUACUGCUUGUUUCACU
rnacentral:lncRNA from 1 species